rnacentral:rRNA from 1 species
AGCGAACGCUGGCGGCAGGCCUAACACAUGCAAGUCGAACGAACCUUUCGGGGUUAGUGGCGGACGGGUGAGUAACACGUGGGAACGUGCCUUUAGGUUCGGAAUAACUCAGGGAAACUUGUGCUAAUACCGAAUGUGCCCUUCGGGGGAAAGAUUAAUCGCCUUUAGAGCGGCCCGCGUCUGAUUAGCUAGUUGGUUGAGGUAAUGGCUCACCAAGGCGACGAUCAGUAGCUGGUCUGAGAGGAUGAUCAGCCACAUUGGGACUGAGACACGGCCCAAACUCCUACGGGAAGCAGCAGUGGGGAAUCUUGCGCAAUGGGCGAAAGCCUGACGCAGCCAUGCCGCGUGAAUGAUGAAGGUCUUAGGAUUGUAAAAUUCUUUCACCGGGGACAAUAAUGACGGUACCCGGAGAAGAAGCCCCGGCUAACUUCGUG